rnacentral:lncRNA from 1 species
UCUUUGUGCUUCGUAAGAGAGUCAAUCCUGGAGUGACGUGAGUAGCAGAAUGCCAAGUCUAUGAGUCACGUGAUAACUACUGGACAUGCACAUGAGAAUAUGACGAGGAUGGUGCCUUAGAAUGGGGAUUCUCAAUCUGAGGUAGGAAGACAUGAUGAGCCACAAAAUUCUUAUUACACAUUAAAAUGAAGAUUAAGAAUUACUGAUAGAAUUCAGAUUUGAAGGGGCAUAUGGUGUAAGUUUAGCCCAACCAAAGUGGAAAUGUUAACAGAAGGACGUGGCAGGCAUCCUACAGAGGCAGCUUAUCAUGAAUGCUGCUCAGCUUACUUUCUCAGAGAAUCCAGAAGUCACUACAAUAGUUGUUACUAACGGCUGGUCAAUGUGCUCCAGGAAAGGCUGCCCACAUUUGUCUUUUUGAUGGCUUCCAGCCAAUCAGCUUACCAAAGAAAAGUUAAACAAAACACAC